AGUAAACGCUGGCGGUAGGCCUAACACAUGCAAGUCGAACGGCAGCACAGAGGAGCUUGCUCCUUGGGUGGAGAGUGGCGGACGGGUGAGGAAUACAUCGGAAUCUACUUUUUCGUGGGGGAUAACGUAGGGAAACUUACGCUAAUACCGCAUACGACCUACGGGUGAAAGCAGGGGACCUUCGGGCCUUGCGCGAUUGAAUGAGCCGAUGUCGGUUUAGCUAGUUGGCGGGGUAAAGGCCAACCAAGGCUACGAUCCGUAGCUGGUCUGGGAGUAUGAUCAGCCACACAGGAUCUGAGACCCGGACCAUGCUCCUACGGGAGGCAGCAGUGGGGAAUAUUGGACAAUGGGCGGAAGCCUGAUCCAGCCAUACCGCGUGGGUGAAGAAGGCCUUCGGGUUGUAAAGCCCUUUUGUUGGGAAAGAAAUCCAGCUGGCUAAUACCCGGUUGGGAUGACGGUACCCAAAGAAUAAGCACCGGCUAGCUUCGUGCCAGCAGCCGCCGUAAUAC
rnacentral:rRNA from 1 species